CAAUACUUUUCUAUGAAAUUCUCUCUUCUCACCGUCCCGAUCUAGGGUUGCUUGGGUGGCCGCCGGGCCGCCUCCCGGCACGGCGGCAACGCCCAUCUAAGAACCUCAUUUUCCAAUACUUUUCUAUGUUCUUUGUUCCUUCCUUUUCAUGUCUUCAUCUAUUCUCUGCUUCGUCCGACAUGGUUCCGUUCUAACUACCUUGGCGUUCACGUCCUCACUCCCCUGGCUUCUUUUCUGACGCCCCUUGGUGAACACAGGCUUCUCCACCUCCUCGUUGCCGCUCCCUACUAUGCUUGUUGUGCUCCGUUUUCGUUCUUGCUGAUGUCGGUUUGCCUUGCCUUCCGAUGCACCGCCGAGGCUUCUCCUAGUUCCUGUCGUCGUCGUAGCUCGCCUUUGCUUCAUGGUUGCUGCGGAUCUUGUAUUUCUGGGGUUUGGUGUUGCAGGGUUUUGGGCUUUGAUCUGAAGAUCUCACUUUCCGGAUUUUAUCAGUGGAUACCCCUUCUGCGUGAAAGAUUUUUUUAUCAAUCAGCGUGCGUUGCUGGAGCCUUGGAUCCAUAUCAAUCUUUAAGACAAGGCUCGUUCUAAGUGGUUUUCUUGAGGCUCCAAUCUUUAAGACAAGGCUCGUGCAUAUGCUAAAUGGAAAAAGUUGUUGAGACUUAACACAUAUGUAUAUAUAGGCUUGAUCAGCUUAUAUGUGCUUGGCAAUUGUAUAUGGAACAAUUUGGUGGUGUAAUUUGUAUUGGAUCAUGGUGCUUAUGUUGAUGGAUUGAUGUGUCUUCACGGCUGAUGAGCAUGUGGAUUGAGGUUGUCAGUGGUGGCUGAUGUUGGCGUCUCUUCGUUUUGACCAUCUUUGGAUGGGUUCGAGUCUUUUGCAAGAGUGGUGCUUCUUGGAGUGGAGUAUGAGUUCGAUCAUCUUCUUGGGUUAAGCCAAGGAAACGUUGUCGCGGAGGUGGUCUGGUUGUCAGGUACUGGAGGUAGAGAUGUGGCUCAUGAGGAGUAGCUUCGGAGAGUCUUAGCUUAUGUUCUUAUUAUUAUUAUUAUUAUUAUUAUUAUUAUUAUUAUUAUUAUUAUUAUAAAAUAAGUGUCUUGCUCUGUAAUGUAACACUGGGUAGAUAUUUUACGUUACUUUUACACUUCUGUUGAGAGGAUUUUAUAACCUCUCCUUAUGGAAGUUGUUGAAUAAUUUUCUAAAUUAUGGCGAUGUCGUACUGUUGAUGGUCGAAGUGCCUAUGAAAUUCAGUUUUGAGUA